rnacentral:misc_RNA from 1 species
GAUGAAGAACGUAGCGAAAUGCGAUAAGUAAUGCGAAUUGCAGAAUUCCAGUGAAUCAUCGAAUCUUUGAACGCACAUUGCGCCCCUUGGUAUCCCGAGGGGCAUGCCUGUUCGAGCGUCAUUUCACCACUCAAGCCUGGCUUGGUGUUGGGCGACGUCCUCUUUGGGGACGCGCCUCGAAACGCUCGGCGACGUGGCACCGGCUUUAAGCGUAGCAGAAUCUUUCGCUUUGGAAGUCGGGGCCCCGUCUGCCGGAAGACCUGCUCGCAAGGUUGACCUCGGAUCAGGCAGGGAUACCCGCUGAACUUAAGCAUAUCAAUAAGCGGAGGA